GUGUGGCACAGACCUUCCUCCACCACCUGCCUCGGCACCACACCAACGCCGCCCAGCUGCGCCUCGCAGGUGUGUUUCAGGCUUGGCAAAACCAUGAGCGAGCAAACUGCACAGACUUCCUGCGUGUCUUUCUUCUCAGAAUCUUUCUAGGAGUGGAGAGGAGAGAAGAUAAGGAUGAAAGGACAAAAUGAAGCCAGAGAUUCUGUGGCGCAGAUGAAGCUCCUCCAGAAGGAAGACAAUGAACAUUUGCAAUGAGUUUCGAUUCAAGGAGACAUUUGGGGCUAUGUUUUAACACAGGUUACAUAACACAAACAAGAAAAGUGACGGCGAGACAAUGCUUUGAGUGGACCGGCGCCUCUCUGAGGAGCUCCCAGUGAUUCAGAAACGCUUUAAAUUCCCGGGCAAGUUCCUGGUCAGCUGUCUGAGCCGGCGGCAGCCACUGCCCUCUGCGUGAUGGGAGCUGCGGGCCCAGGUGCGGCUCCCCAGCUCCUGCAGGCUCCGCCCGAAGGUCUGGAAAUGGCCAGGCCAGGCCAGUUCUCCUCUAUCUUGCACCCAAGCCCCAGGGGCCGCAGCAUCACUGGCCAAACCUCGUGUCUUGGUGCCUCCUCGGCUGCUGGCCAGUACC